rnacentral:rRNA from 1 species
GUGGGGAAUUUUGGACAAUGGGCGCAAGCCUGAUCCAGCCAUGCCGCGUGUGUGAAGAAGGCCUUCGGGUUGUAAAGCACUUUUGGNNGGGAGGAAGGGGUUUGGGUUAAUACCUUGGGNUAUUGACGNUACCGGCAGAAUAAGCACCGGCUAACUNCGUGCCAGCAGCCGCGGUAAUACGUAGGGUGCAAGCGUUAAUCGGAAUUACUGGGCGUAAAGCGCGCGCAGGCGGUUCGNUAAGUCAGAUGUGAAAUCCCCGGGCUCAACCUGGGAACUGCAUUUGAAACUGNCNNGCUAGAGUNUGGUAGAGGGGGGUGGAAUUCCNCGUGUAGCNGUGAAAUGCGUAGAUAUGNGGAGGAACACCGAUGGCGAAGGCAGCCCCCUGGACNAAUACUGACGCUCAUGCUGCGAAAGCGUGGGGAGCAAA